rnacentral:rRNA from 1 species
GCCUACGGGAGGCAGCAGUGGGGAAUAUUGCACAAUGGGGGAAACCCUGAUGCAGCAACGCCGCGUGAAGGAAGACGGUUUUCGGAUUGUAAACUUCUGUUCUUAGUGAAGAAAAAUGACGGUAGCUAAGGAGCAAGCCACGGCUAACUACGUGCCAGCAGCCGCGGUAAUACGUAGGUGGCAAGCGUUGUCCGGAAUUACUGGGUGUAAAGGGAGCGCAGGCGGGAAGCCAAGUCAGCUGUGAAAACUACGGGCUUAACUUGUAGAAUGCAGUUGAACUUGGGUUUCUUGAGUGAAGUAGAGGU